CAAAUUCUACAGAACAAGUGGAAUAAUAAAAUAAAUGAUGUAAAUUGUAUAAACAAAGCAACAUUACAAUUAAUUAGUGGCAAUUGAGCUAAACCGAGAAGCUACGAACACAUGCAUACGGCAAUUUGAACACAUCUCUCUGUAUGACCCUGAACCUUUACAUUAAUCUUUUUUACAUAUUUUUUCAUAAGUUUGUACUUUUUAAAUACAGCACGCCUUGCUUGCUUUCACGCUAAUACGCUCUCUGGCGCGCUAUUUUUAACGCUGAAUCAGACGGCAAGUAAAUGCAGUCGGUGGCAGAAGAAUAUUGUCAGCCUCAGGGCGCUGAUUCAUUAUGAUUUUGCAACGACAUUUUUGCGCACCGCACAGCUGAGCGAAAUGAACAACGUGAUCACCACUCAACAAGCCCACACACACACAAGCACUGAGACACAUACGUUUAUAUGCAAACAAGUAGCAGGUUCUUUCGGCGCACACUUACCCGCACCGCAUCGGUAAGCAAAUCAACAAUCUCCUUUACAUUAUCUUCACUGAGCAGCGUCUUCAGUUGUUGAUGCUCGCCUUGCAGAUUAUCUUCGACACCUUCGUCGCCGAUCCGCCGCGCUGCAUAGAUAAGCAUUACCUCGUCGCAAAGCUUCACUAAUUUACCCAGCGACUGGUAGACUUGUUGCGUUGCC